rnacentral:misc_RNA from 1 species
UCUCCGUUGGUGAACCAGCGGAGGGAUCAUUACCGAGUUUCCAACUCCCAAACCCAAUGUGAACGUUACCAAACUGUUGCCUCGGCGGGGUCACGCCCCGGGUGCGUCGCAGCCCCGGAACCAGGCGCCCGCCGGAGGAACCAACCAAACUCUUUCUGUAGUCCCCUCGCGGACGUUAUUUCUUACAGCUCUGAGCAAAAAUUCAAAAUGAAUCAAAACUUUCAACAACGGAUCUCUUGGUUCUG